GACGAACGCUGGCGGCGUGCCUAAUACAUGCAAGUCGAGCGAAUGACGAGAAGCUUGCUUCUCUGAUUUAGCGGCGGACGGGUGAGUAACACGUGGGCAACCUGCCCUACAGAUCGGGAUAACUCAGGGAAACCUGGGCUAAUACCGGAUAAUCCUUCGAAUCACAUGUUUUGAAGUUGAAAGGCGCUUCGGCGUCACUGUAGGAUGGGCCCGCGGUGCAUUAGCUAGUUGGUGGGGUAACGGCCUACCAAGGCAACGAUGCAUAGCCGACCUGAGAGGGUGAUCGGCCAAAUUGGGACUGAGACACGGCCCAAACUCCUACGGGAGGCAGCAGUAGGGGAUCUUCCACAAUGGACGAAAGUCUGAUGGAGCAACGCCGCGUGAGUGAUGAAGGUUUUCGGAUCGUAAAACUCUGUUGUAAGGGAAGAACAAGUACGUUAGGAAAUGAACGUACCUUGACGGUACCUUAUUAGAAAGCCACGGCUAACUACGUGCCAGCCGCCGCCGUAA
rnacentral:rRNA from 1 species